ACCAGAAAUAUAAAAAAAUAAGAAAAAUAUUUUAGGUCUGCCCACACACACACACACACACACACACACACACACACAGGGAGCAGGUCAGGUCAAGUUAGGUCAGGUCGGGGUCACACACACGGGUCACCUACUACAGAGCUCACACACACACGGGGCAGGUCAGGUUAGGUCAGGUCGGGGUCACACACACAGGGGUCAGCUACUACAGAGGUCACAGGGCAGGUAAUUUGUGCUAAUAAUCAUGAUAAUUGUAGUAAUUUGUUACCAGAAAAAGACAAAAAAAAAAAAAAAAUACUGAAUAGAAAAUUACCAGAAUAGAUUAAAAUAAAUAAAUUAUCAGAAAAAAAAGAUUGAACAGAGAAUAAAAUAGAUUGAAUAGAGAGAGAAAUAGAUUGAAUAGAGAAAAUAAUAGAUUGAAUUGAUAAUAAAAUAGAUUGAAUAGAGAAAAAUAGAUUGAAUAGAGAAAAUAAUAGAUUGAAUUGAUAAUAAAAUAGAUUGAAUAGAGAAAAAUAGAUUGAAUAGAGAAAAUAAUAGAUUGAAUUGAUAAUAAAAUAGAUUGAAUAGAGAAAAAUAGAUUGAAUAGAGAAAAUAAUAGAUUGAAUUGAUAAUAAAAUAGAUUGAAUAGAGGACAAAAAUAGAUUGAGUAGAGAAAAUAAAUUAUGAGGAAAAAUACCCCCCAAAAAAAAGAUUGAAGAGAAAAAAAUUACCAAAAAAUACCCAAAAAAUACCAAAAAAUUCCAAAAAAAUACCCAAAAAUACCCAAAAAAUUGAGGAGAAAAAUUACCACAAAAAAAAAGAUUGAAUAGAGAGAAAAAAAAUUACAAGCCGGAAAAAUAAAUACAAUAAUAAUAAUAAUAAUAAUAAUAAUAAUAAUAAUAAUAAUAAUAAUAAUAAUAAUAAUAAUAAUAAUAAUAAUAAUAAUAUUAGCCUUAAUGUAUAGCUAAAGGAACACCAAAUAUCCUUCUAUAUGUAUCAUUAAGAGUAUUCAUCAAUCACUAUGUACACACACUAAGGAGACACACACACAUAAACGCACACGCACACUGAAAACGCACAUGGGGACAAAUACGCACACACAAAUAAUACAUACAUACAUACACAAUUCAUGGCCUCUUGACACACGCACAUGGCCAAAACAUACACACACUGAGUAUACGCACACACAGAAAACGCACAUGGGACAAAUACGCACACACACAUGAAAACACAUACACACACAAGAGAAAUACGUACAUGAGUGGCCUCUUAAUACGUACAUAGCCAAAAUACACACACAUAAAAGUACACAUACACACGUACAUGGGUAAAAUACGCACACGAUAAAAUACAUGAAUGGCCGCUUACGCACAUAAAGAACACACACACACACACAGCUAGUUUUUACGCACAUGACCCAAAAUUACGCACACACACUUGGGUAGUUUAUGCGCACAUGACUGUAAAAUACGUACACAUACACACAUGGCCAGUCACUGUGUACAUGGCCACAUAAUACGUACACAGUUGGCUAUUUUAUACGCACAUGGCCCUAAAGUCUAUACGCACAUGGCUUCAAAAACGUACACGGCUUCAAAAAAGUCCAAAAAACGCACAUGGCCAUAAAGUCUGUACGUACAUGCAUAGCCAAGAAAGACGCACACGACCACAAAAAUACGUACAAACACACACAUAUGGCCAGUAAAUACGCACAUGGUCACUAAAAUACGUACACAGACAAACGCACAUGAAUACGUACACAAUAAAAUACCCAUGAAAUAAUGCAUCUAAAUUACGCUCAUGGUAAAUACGCACAUACUAGUAAAUACGCACAUGAUUAUUUACUUACAUGUGUGCGCGUAUGUGGGAACUGAUAAUGGUACACACACACACACACACACACACACACACACACACACACACACACACACACA